rnacentral:rRNA from 1 species
AGAGUUUGAUCCUGGCUCAGGACGAACGCUGGCGGCGUGCUUAACACAUGCAAGUCGAACGGAAAGGCCCUUCGGGGUACUCGAGUGGCGAACGGGUGAGUAACACGUGGGUGAUCUGCCCUGCACUCUGGGAUAAGCCUGGGAAACUGGGUCUAAUACCGGAUAGGACCACACACUUCAUGGUGAGUGGUGCAAAGCUUUUGCGGUGUGGGAUGAGCCCGCGGCCUAUCAGCUUGUUGGUGAGGUAAUGGCCCACCAAGGCGACGACGGGUAGCCGGCCUGAGAGGGUGACCGGCCACACUGGGACUGAGAUACGGCCCAGACUCCUACGGGAGGCAGCAGUGGGGAAUAUUGCACAAUGGGCGCAAGCCUGAUGCAGCGACGCCGCGUGAGGGAUGACGGCCUUCGGGUUGUAAACCUCUUUCAGUAGGGACGAAGCGAAAGUGACGGUACCUACAGAAGAAGGACCGGCCAACUACGUGCCAGCAGCCGCGGUAAUACGUAGGGUCCGAGCGUUGUCCGGAAUUACUGGGCGUAAAGAGCUCGUAGGUGGUUUGUCACGUUGUUCGUGAAAACCCACAGCUUAACUGUGGGCGUGCGGGCGAUACGGGCAGACUUGAGUACUGCAGGGGAGACUGGAAUUCCUGGUGUAGCGGUGGAAUGCGCAGAUAUCAGGAGGAACACCGGUGGCGAAGGCGGGUCUCUGGGCAGUAACUGACGCUGAGGAGCGAAAGCGUGGGGAGCGAACAGGAUUAGAUACCCUGGUAGUCC